rnacentral:rRNA from 1 species
GACAGCAGCAGCCGCGGUAAUACGAAGGGUGCAAGCGUUACUCGGAAUUACUGGGCGUAAAGCGUGCGUAGGUGGUGGUUUAAGUCCGUUGUGAAAGCCCUGGGCUCAACCUGGGAAUUGCAGUGGAUACUGGGUCACUAGAGUGUGGUAGAGGAUAGUGGAAUUUCCGGUGUAGCAGUGAAAUGCGUAGAGAUCGGAAGGAACAUCUGUGGCGAAGGCGACUAUCUGGGCCAACACUGACACUGAGGCACGAAAGCGUGGGGAGCAAACAGGAUUAGAUACCCGAGUAGUCCCUGUCUCUUAUAC